rnacentral:rRNA from 1 species
GACGGAGGAUGCAAGCGUUAUCCGGAAUGAUUGGGCGUAAAGCGUCCGCAGGUGGCAGUUCAAGUCUGCUGUCAAAGACCGGGGCUUAACUUCGGAAAGGCAGUGGAAACUGAACAGCUAGAGUAUGGUAGGGGCAGAGGGAAUUCCUGGUGUAGCGGUGAAAUGCGUAGAGAUCAGGAAGAACAUCGGUGGCGAAGGCGCUCUGCUGGACCACAACUGACACUGAUGGACGAAAGCUAGGGGAGCGAAUGGG